GGAGACUCCACCCAAAUGACUUAAUGGUGGAGACAACACCUCAAAGGGUGUGAAGCUGCCCCAAUGAGUUGAUGGCAUGGAGACUCCAUCUGCCAAGGUCAGACUAGGUGUGGAGCUGAAUCAAGGAUGUGGAUGGAGUGGAGACAUCUUUAAAGGUGUGGAACUGAACUAACGCUGUGAAAAGUCUGAAAGGUUACCUUCACAUAACAUCCCUGCAGUCUCAGAAGUGGACAUGUAGACUGGGGUGUUCCUUGUCUGCUGUUUGAUGCCCCUUGAUUUCAGCCCCAACCAACCCUUCAUUCACCGCAAUUUAUUAAUAACUUUUCUGUGAGUUUUGUUCAGUGGUGCUUUACUUCUGAACAUAAGUGGUGGUUGUGGGAUGUGUAAAUGUUAUACUGUGAAACUUAAACCUAUUAAAGAAGUAUAACUCUGUAUAUGCCUUCAGCGUGUUCAAGCCCCUCGACUCUAUUCCACAUUUUGUUACAGCAUGAAUUUAACAUGAAUUAGGUUGAAGUUGUCACUGGCCUACACACAGUACCCUGUGUCAGUUGAAUAUUUGAAACAUUACUUUUAAAUGUGAACUUUAUGUAUUGACCCUUGUUAUGGAAGCCUAUUAUCUCUACCCCACACUUAUCUGUAAGGUCACUAAGUCAGGAGGCGAAAUUCAAACAGACAUGGAGGUUUAAUAAGGCCACCUGUUGGUGGAUGGGUUAAAACGGCUGUUAAAUAUGCCUUUAAGGGUGGUUAAUUUUGCUUUGUAUGGUGACUCAAAUGACUGUUAGAAGAGACUAGAUCAGCAUUGUAGUUAAGCCUGUUGGCUACGAGCUUGAAAAACUGUAAUGUCACUAAUUUACUUGUCUGUUGGUCAAUGAAGGGUAGAUGGGGACUUAGUCUGUGGAAAGUUAGCAUGUAGAAAGUCCGUUUUUAAGUCAGACCAGCUGCGGCACGAGCAAGGAAUGGGGUCGA